rnacentral:lncRNA from 1 species
AUCAAUCUUAAACCCUAUUUUUUUUUAAAUACGAACCCUAAACCCUGAAACAUGAACUAUAAACCUUAAACCCCGAAACAUCAACUCUAAACCCUAAACCUUCGACUCUAAACCCUAAAACAUCAACUCUAAACCCUAAACCCUAAACUUCAACUCAAAACCCUAAACCAUCAACACUAAACCCUAAACUAUCGACACUAAACCCUAAAUCCUAAAAGUAAACUCUAAACCCUAAACCCUAAAAAAUUAACCCUAAACACUAAAACAUCAACUCUAAACCCUAAACCUUCAACUCUAAACCCUAAACCCUAAAUC